AUUGCUUCUCAGCCUUUUGGCUAAGAUCAAGUGUAGUAUCUAAAUGACGCCCCUACUCAGCAGGAAGUAGCCAGAUCGAACUCGGUGCCCCCAAACCAAAAUUAAAAAGGGAAGAAUGUUGGUAAAGAUGGCACUGGAGUGCUUCUCUUCCAGGAGUUCAGGUCCAUGAUGCAUUGAAUGGCGUGUGAACCAUCACCU